GAUGAACGCUAGCUACAGGCUUAACACAUGCAAGUCGAGGGGAAACGAUAGAGAAAGCUUGCUUUUUCUAGGCGUCGACCGGCGCACGGGUGAGUAACGCGUAUCCAACCUGCCCAUCACUUGGGGAUAACCUUGCGAAAGUAAGACUAAUACCCAAUGACGUCUCUAGAAGACAUCUGAAAGGGAUUAAAGAUUUAUCGGUGAUGGAUGGGGAUGCGUCUGAUUAGCUUGUUGGCGGGGUAACGGCCCACCAAGGCGACAAUCAGUAGGGGUUCGGAGAGGAAGGUCCCCCACAUUGGAACGGAGACACGGUCCAAACUCCUACGGGAGGCAGCAGUGAGGAAUAUUGGUCAAUGGACGAGAGUCUGAACCAGCCAAGUAGCGUGCAGGAUGACGGCCCUAUGGGUUGUAAACUGCUUUUAUAAGGGAAUAAAGUGAGAGUCGUGACUCUUUUUGCAUGUACCUUAUGAAUAAGGACCGGCUAAUUCCGUGCCAGCCGCCGCAGUAA
rnacentral:rRNA from 1 species